AACUAUUGUAGGCUGGUCGUAGGGCUGACUUCGGUCGGUCUGAAAGCCAGACUAUGUUUACACACGCUUCAGUUUAAGAAUGUCAUUUGCGGAUAACGCAUUAUAUACAACUUUCAGCAACGGAUCUCUUGGCUCUCGCAUCGAUGAAGAACGCAGCGAAAUGCGAUAAGUAAUGUGAAUUGCAGAAUUCAGUGAAUCAUCGAAUCUUUGAACGCACCUUGCGCUCCUUGGUAUUCCGAGGAGCAUGCCUGUUUGAGUGUCAUGGAAUUCUCAACCUCUCUCACUUUUGUGGCGGAGGCUUGGACUUGGGGGUCGUGUCGGCUUGCGAAAGUCGACUCCUCUGAAAUGCAUUAGUGCGAGCCUUACGGAUCGCUUCGGUGUGAUAAUUGUCUACGCCGUGGUGUGAAGUAUCUCUGUGUUCGCGCUUCUAACCGUCCGCGAGGACAACUUUUAACAUCUGACCUCAAAUCAGGUAGGACUACCCGCUGAACUUAAGCAUAUCAAUAAGCGG
rnacentral:sRNA from 2 species